rnacentral:rRNA from 1 species
UGGGGAAUUUUGGAUAAUGGGCGAAAGCCUGAUCCAGCCAUGCCGCGUGAGUGAAGAAGGCCUUCGGGUUGUAAAGCUCUUUUAGUCGGAAAGAAAGAGUUGCAAUGAAUAAUUGUGAUUUAUGACGGUACCGACAGAAAAAGCACCGGCUAACUACGUGCCAGCAGCCGCGGUAAUACGUAGGGUGCGAGCGUUAAUCGGAAUUACUGGGCGGAAAGGGUGCGCAGGCGGUCUUGCAAGUCAGAUGUGAAAGCCCCGGGCUUAACCUGGGAAGUGCGUUUGAAACUACAAGGCUGGAGGGCAGCAGAGGGGAGUGGAAUUCCAUGUGUAGCAGUGAAAUGCGUAGAGAUGUGGAAGAACACCGAUGGCGAAGGCAGGUCCCUGGGUUGACACUGACGCUCAUGCACGAAAGCGUGGGGAGCAAACA